AGGGGAAUAUUGCACAAUGGGCGCAAGCCUGAUGCAGCCAUGCCGCGUGUAUGAAGAAGGCCUUCGGGUUGUAAAGUACUUUCAGCGGGGAGGAAGGGAGUAAAGUUAAUACCUUUGCUCAUUGACGUUACCCGCAGAAGAAGCACCGGCUAACUCCGUGCCAGCAGCCGCGGUAAUACGGAGGGUGCAAGCGUUAAUCGGAAUUACUGGGCGUAAAGCGCACGCAGGCGGUUUGUUAAGUCAGAUGUGAAAUCCCCGGGCUCAACCUGGGAACUGCAUCUGAUACUGGCAAGCUUGAGUCUCGUAGAGGGGGGUAGAAUUCCAGGUGUAGCGGUGAAAUGCGUAGAGAUCUGGAGGAAUACCGGUGGCGAAGGCGGCCCCCUGGACGAAGACUGACGCUCAGGUGCGAAAGCGUGGGGAGCAAACAGG
rnacentral:rRNA from 1 species